rnacentral:rRNA from 1 species
AGCGAACGCUGGCGGCAGGCCUAACACAUGCAAGUCGAACGGAUCCUUCGGGAUUAGUGGCGGACGGGUGAGUAACACGUGGGAACGUGCCCUUUGGUUCGGAACAACUCAGGGAAACUUGAGCUAAUACCGGAUGUGCCCUUCGGGGGAAAGAUUUAUCGCCAUUGGAGCGGCCCGCGUCUGAUUAGCUAGUUGGUGAGGUAACGGCCCACCAAGGCGACGAUCAGUAGCUGAUCUGAGAGGAUGAUCAGCCACACUGGGACUGAGACACGGCCCAGACUCCUACGGGAGGCAGCAGUGGGGAAUCUUGCGCAAUGGGCGAAAGCCUGACGCAGCCAUGCCGCGUGAAUGAUGAAGGUCUUAGGAUUGUAAAAUUCUUUCAGCGGGGACGAUAAUGACGGUACCCGCAGAAGAAGCGCCGGCUAACUUCGUG